CCUACGGGAGGCAGCAGUGAGGAAUAUUGGUCAAUGGGCGUAAGCCUGAACCAGCCAAGUCGCGUGAGGGAUGAAGGUUCUAUGGAUCGUAAACCUCUUUUAUAAGGGAAUAAAGUGUGGGACGUGUCCUAUUUUGUAUGUACCUUAUGAUUAAGGAUCGGCUAACUCCGUGCCAGCAGCCGCGGUAAUACGGAGGAACCGAGCGUUAUCCGGAUUUAGUGGGUUUAGAGGGUGCGUAGGCGGCCUUUUAAGUCAGCGGUGAAAGCUCGGGGCUCAACCAUAGAAUUGCCGUUGAAACUGGGGGGCUUGAGUAUGUUAGAGGCAGGCGGAAUGCGUGGUGUAGCGGUGAAAUGCUUAGAUAUCACGCAGAACCCCGAUGGCGAAGGCAGCCUGCUAAGCCAUGACUGACGCUGAUGCACGAAAGCGUGGGGAUCAAACAGGAUUAGAUACCCGGGUAGUC
rnacentral:rRNA from 1 species